ACGACUACACUCCUACGGGAGGCAGCAGUGGGGAAUAUUGCACAAUGGGCGGAAGCCUGAUGCAGCGACGCCGCGUGAGGGAUGACGGCCUUCGGGUUGUAAACCUCUUUCAGCAGGGACGAAGCGUAAGUGACGGUACCUGCAGAAGGAGCACCGGCUAACUACGUGCCAGCAGCCGCGGUAAUACGUAGGGUGCGAGCGUUGUCCGGAAUUACUGGGCGUAAAGAGCUCGUAGGCGGUUUGUCACGUCGUCUGUGAAAUCCUAGGGCUUAACCCUGGACGUGCAGGCGAUACGGGCUGACUUGAGUACUACAGGGGAGACUGGAAUUUCUGGUGUAGCGGUGGAAUGCACAGAUAUCAGGAAGAACACCGAUGGCAGGUCUCUGGGUAGUAACUGACGCUGAGGAGCGAAAGCAUGGGUAGCGAACAGGAUUAGAAACCCGAGUAGUCCACCAAUCC
rnacentral:rRNA from 1 species